UACGUAGGGUGCGAGCGUUAAUCGGAAUACUGGGCGUAAAGCGUGCGCAGGCGGUGAUGUAAGACCGAUGUGAAAUCCCCGGGCUUAACCUGGGAACUGCAUUGGUGACUGCAUUGCUGGAGUAUGGCAGAGGGGGGUGGAAUUCCACGUGUAGCAGUGAAAUGCGUAGAGAUGUGGAGGAACACCGAUGGCGAAGGCAGCCCCCUGGGUCAAGCAUUGACGCUCGAUGCACGAAA
rnacentral:rRNA from 1 species